GUUCAUUCCAGCUAGUUUGUGUUCGUUUCAACUGUCUUGUGCUCGUCUUAUAUUUAUAUGUUUCUAACAAAGAUGCAUCCGAAUAAUUUAUAAACACAACUUAAAAUGCAACGGCUGAUAGUGGAUCUUUAGGACUUAACGACUUUGGCUCUAAUUGUUUAGAUUCAUCGGCAAAAAAUCAAAAUCAUUCCACGAUAAACGAUUCAUUUCAAUCGCUUAAUACUAAUUGUCCAGAUUCCACUCAAGGAUUCGAUUCCAGUUAUGCUCCGGAUAUAACUAACCGGUCCAGCAUUUUAAAUAAUUCCAACAUUAAACAAGUUUUUUCUUACACAACUGAAACUCCACUAAGUGAUGUAAGGGAUUUAAUUAUUCCAACUGCGAAAACCCAAACAAAUUAUUGUUCAUAAAAAUGAGCCGCA
rnacentral:sRNA from 1 species